AUUGAACGCUGGCGGCAUGCCUUACACAUGCAAGUCGAACGGCAGCACGGGAGCAAUCCUGGUGGCGAGUGGCGAACGGGUGAGUAAAGUAUCGGAACGCGCCCAGUCGUGGGGGAUAACGUAGCGAAAGUUACGCUAAUACCGCAUACGAUCUAUGGAUGAAAGCGGGGGAUCGCAAGACCUCGCGCGAUUGGAGCGGCCGAUAUCAGAUUAGGUAGUUGGUGGGGUAACGGCGCACCAAGCCGACGAGCUGUAGCUGGUCUGAGAGGACGACCAGCCACACGGGGACGGAGACACGGCCCAGACUCCUACGGGAGGCAGCAGUGGGGAAUUUUGGACAAGGGGCGCAAGCCUGAUCCAGCCAUGCCGCGUGCAGGAUGAAGGCCUUCGGGUUGUAAACUGCUUUUGUACGGAACGAAAAGGUUUGACUUAAUACGUUGGACUCAUGACGGUACCGUAAGAAUAAGCACCGGCUAACUACGUGCCAGCAGCCGCAGUAA
rnacentral:rRNA from 1 species